rnacentral:lncRNA from 1 species
CGACGAUAAAUAGCUUUGCACGAAAUGAAGAGGAGCGAAGUGCUUAAUACCGGUAUUUGCCGAGCUGUGAGAACAUCUAAAUUUUUGAAUGGAUGAAAACAUCUUACAACAUGCACAGGCUGUCCUGAGAGACUAUUAAAGGAGGAUUGUUAGAGAGGAAUAUGCCAACAAGAACUGCAAUUAGGAGUCAUUGACAGGAGGAAACUUUUUAAAAGAGACCACACACUACCUCAUCAACAUGU